rnacentral:lncRNA from 1 species
AUUUGGAGUGAACCUAAACUUGAUUGUUCAUCUUUAUGAGCUCCCUGUGUUGAAAUUAACUUCACUUGUAAUUACAGCAGGUUUUGCCAUUAUACAAAGUAGCCCCAUCCUCUUACAGAAGUAACUAGCAUGUCUCCUAUUUUGGGUAGGGAGAAGACUAGCAGCAUCUGACAGUGGGAACUGUAAAUAAUGGGCUUCAUGGUUUAUUUGUUGAAAUUGUCUAAGAAGAAAGACUGACAAGUAGGCCAAUAACACACUCAGCUUCAACAGUGGAACACAGCACUCACGUUAUGUGGCCAGUGUUUAAUGAUGCUGUGUAUUUAUGAACCAUUUUAACUUUGGUUAUUUUUAACUAUGAAAUACCUAGAUCAGAUUAUGUAUAAGAAAUAUUGACUGGGAAUCAAAUUUAUGGAGAAAAAGAUCACCCUUCGGGUUGAAAAAUUGACCACUACUAGAAUAUAAUUUCUGAAAAUGCAGCCUGACGGCAAUUCACUAGAGGGUAAUUUUUCAGUGCAGUAGGCAAGUUUUCACAGGAUUCUGACAGUCUCUCUCUUUUUCUCUUUCUCUUAACCUCUAAGGCAUAUUUUUGUUCUAAAUAUGCUUCAACAUUAUUAGUCCUUAAGACAUCUUCUUUAAUUCAUAGAGUCAUGUGGCAUAUGAGGCAUAAUUAAUGCUUCAUGUAAUCUGUGUUGUUAGUCAGAAGGGUUGAAUGAUUCAUUUCCAAGACAAUGUAAACAUCUUAAAUCUCAUUUUGAUCAGUAAUGAUAGACACAUGCACUGUUGUGUGCACAAGUUAAUGGGCUUCCUAAAUAAUUUCUCAGUUCCUAGGUCUUUUUCUUUCCUGAAGGAUCCAAGCACUGCUGUCACUUAUUUUUUCUAGCAUACGACAGUGGCCAUGUCACCCAGCUCCAAAACUUUCAGUGCUUUUCUAUUGUUAGAAUAAAGGGAAAAUUCCUAGACUGGCAAUCAUGGAUCCUUGAAACUAAUCCCAAUAUGUGUAUCCUAAUUAUUUCUCUUACACAAUACACAAGUCACCCUCUCUGUGCAUUUGCACAUGGUGGUGAUUUUAAUAUGAUUUUAUAACAUAGUAGCCAAAGGUGAUAUUUAACAGAAUUAUCCCCAAGAGCAAUUUUAAUAUUAAGUAAUGUACAAAGUUUUCAAUAUUUCAAACAUAUUUCUUUUUUAGAUUCAUUGACGGUACAUAUGCUUUAAUGGGUAAAGAGAUUAUUAAUAGAGAAAGGAGAGAGGGGAGAGGAAGAGAGAGAAACCUGCCUCAUUUACUUUCAAAGUAAUUAUGCUACAAAUACAAUCAAAUGAGAGGUUUUCUGGAAGUUUUAUUUUGGGCAUAGAUUUCAUUUCAUACUUAUACUUGCUUUUUUCCUUCAUUUGGGCCACUUUGGCGUAAUAAUUUAUAUUGGGAUGUUAAAUAUUAAUAGUUUUAUAUAUUAAUGAUAUCCCUUUGCUAUAUUAAAUCAUUAAAUCUAUUAUAUUAAUGGUAAAAUUCCAUAUCUUGUGAGGUGUUGUAGAUCAUGGUAACAACUAAUACCUCAAACUAAGAGGGGGGAACUGUUAGAGCUUGGUACUAACCUGAUUCCAUGUUGCAUUUAAUGUUACCUUGAAUGUUUUGUUUUUUUUUCCACUAUCUGUAUAGGUUAAUCCAGUAGCUUUUACAUGUAUUGUGUUUCGAACCAAAGCUGUUUGGGCCUUUUUGUGUGUGGAUAUUUUCCUACACGUUCUUUUAGUCUCUCCAAAUUCCUCUCUCCUCCUGACUUCUAGUACAUUCCUUUAUGAUUCUUCUCUCUAGCUGAGAGGACAAUGAAUUUUUUCCUGCAUGUUACAUGCCCUGCACUAUGUCUUCCUUAAUAGGUAAACUUGGAUACGUUGCUCACCUAUCUGAGCCUCUAUUUCUUUUUCUGUGUAAUGGGGAUAUAAUAGUGCUUAAGUGAGGUCAGACGUGUACAGAAGUUGGUAUGCCCUUAGAAUAUAGUGAGCACUCAAUAAUGAGAGUAAAAAGGAUGUUGUCAGGAAUAUGUAAUGCAGGUGUGGGUGAGUGUUUAACUGAACAUCUUAAUGUGGGGUUGUAUGGCCUUUGUCUCUGCUCUAGAUGCCCUCUUGACCAAGAAGAGGAGGUGCAGUCGGGUGGUGAACAAGCCUUUCUUCAUAGACUUGCUGCUAAUCAGCUGUACUGUAUUUUAGAAUGCAAGUAUUUUUAAACCUGCUUUUGAAUGUAGGGUUUCUAAGUAGAAGUGUUUCUUUCUCCCCCUUCAUGCCAUCCAAAAAAGGAGGAAAAAAUGAUAAUAAAAUAUUGACUAAUUCUUUGCCAAAACUCUACAAUUUUUUAAGUUAAUUUAUAGUGUUAGGCAUAAAAUAGUAUAUAUUUUAUAUUAAUUUCUAAACUUUGCUAUUUUGUCAAAUACUUUUAUUAGGCCUAGCUUCUUAAAUUGACUUCAAUUUUUUAUUCACUAAUCCAUUAUACACUUACUCAACACGUACUGUAUAUUUGGCACUCUGCUAAGUGCUUAGAAUACAAUGGUAAACAAGGCUCCUUGUCUUAGCUUAACAUCUCAAAAUAACUUCUCAGCUUAUUUAUAUCUUGACAUAAAACUUGACAUGGAACAUUUCUUGAAAACCAAUUAGGAAAACAUUGACAUUGAAAUUAUAUUUUUCCUGUACUAUAUAAUUUUCGAAAACACUACCAUGUGUAAAGUAUACAGAUAUAUCCAAAUAAUGGCAAUGUUAUGAACUAGAAGAAACAUUGCCUUUUCUUAUUUACAAAUUUGAUUUUGAACAGUAUAUUUAGACUCAUAGUUUGGCAUAAAAAUACCUUUAGUUUUGUCAUCAUUCUAGUAAAUUACUCUAAUAUUCAUCUAUAGUAUGUUAUAUCUAAUAAAAGCCUAGCCUGGAUUUGACAGAAAGAAACCUUGAUUUUAAGUAUGCAUUCUGAUCAUAAAUGAGCUUACAUGAGUUAAACUGCCAAUCAGGCUUGGUAGAAAUCAGGAUAUGGGGACAGAAUUGUAUGUAAAUAUGUAUUAUAACAAGUAAAAACAGCCUUGUAAAAUUUGUGAUUCUGUUAUUCCUGAAUAUAUAGUGCAGGGCUGAGAAGUAGUAUAUGAGAACAUAGAGCUGAUGUUUCUACAAUGCAAAUUCAUAUUUUUUUCUGUCCCAAUGAUAUAACUAUAGCUCCUAAUCUUAGGAGCAUGUGCACAUUAAAAAUAAGCUGCUAAAUAUUGUAAGAAGAAACAAGCUGUUACUUUGCUUAAUAUCACAUUGUUUACAAGGUGGGUGAAUUGGGAAAGGAAUUUUUUUAAAGCUCUCAUAAUUUUGAUGCUUUUUUCUCAGUUCUAACCCAAUAUGUGUUGAAUACAACAAAGAGCAUUUUCCAAGGCUGAAGCUUAGGCUUCCCCAACAUACAUCUUUCAAAUCUGCUUAAGAUGUUACUAUGCAACCCAGUUUUAUUUUCUCAUCCAUUUGCAUUUUUAGAUGUGUUUCUCUCCCUCUCCGGAUAUUAAAGUUGGAGGCUGCAUGGGAUAGAUAGUGAGCCUGGCUGUAUGUAGGUGUCUUCAUGGAAAUCACCUGGGGCCCAGAGUUCUAUGCUUCUUACCUUAUCAUAUCUGGCUCGCAGAUUUGCUCAGCUCGCCAUAUUUUGGCAUCUGUGAAUCACCACCAUGUUGUCAUAUUCACAGUUACAAAGUAGCUGAUGGGAAGAGAGCCAACUACUUGAGGCAUUUUC